rnacentral:lncRNA from 1 species
GUGUACUUGCGGGAAAUUUUUGUAACUUGAAGCAAGUCAAUCGUCUAAAAACUUUUUCUUUUUCUUUUUCUAAAAAAACUGUUUUCAUAAUUAAAACAUCAAAACUUAAUCUGGAAAGGUCUGUGUCAGUGAAGGUAGCAACGAUAGCAAGACAACUGUGGAUUGAGAGGGAUACAACUACCUGAAAAAUACAAGCAGAACUUCGAUCUUGUAUCCUUUUGUAUCCCUCUCACUCCACAGCUUUCUCAUUAAAACUUAUUAAGCCUGUUCUUCACUUCACCAUAUCGUAACGUACUGUAGAGAAUUUUCUUUUCUGUUGAACUCAUUAGUUACUCAGAAUAACAAAAAUAUACAGCUACCUUUCGGUACGAUAUACGGUUAAAGUGAAAAACAUGUUUUAGUUUUAAUAUAUUGAAAGAGACAUUUUAACACGACUCAGUUGGAUGCGCAGUAUAGUUACGGCAAACUGGCUUAUUGGAAUUUAGUAAAAAAAACAUUGUUAUAACUUGUUGCUUUGCCAGUAUGGGCAAAAGUCUAUUGAGAAGUUUGAUGAAGCUUUAAAGACUUGGAUAAACAUAUAGAUUUGACCUAAAAACAUUUUACUGUAAAACCACGAGAAAUAUUAUGACCAUCUCAAAAGACUGUGAGUGAUUUACUUGGACAAAGGCUGCAGUGUUGUCAUCGUUGAAUGUAUGUCGGAUUUUACGAACAGUUACAGUUGCUGUACAUGUUACCAUUUCAUCACACAUGAAAAUAAUACGUGGUAUAUAUUUUUUGGUGAUUCAGCUGGAUUUGAACAUUUCGGAUCAAGAUGUAACUGAUAUAAGGAAAUAAUGGUAAUGGUGUCUUCCACAGGCUAGUUGCAGUUCGUUUACGUUGAAAUAUCGAUUAUUAGUGUGAAAUAUACCAAAAAUGUACAUGGUUACUUGAAUAGAUCGUACUGUAAAGUCAAAAGAAAUUGAUGAGCACGUCGAAAGAUCGUGAGUUGUAUAACAAAAAUCGUGUAGUGUUUAUAUCGUUGAAAAUCUACGCCUUCAGGAACAGUUCCUGUAUCGUGCCAUUAUACAACUGUUGAAUGACUAAAAAACUAAAGGAUUUCAAACUCCUGAUCACAGUGUGACUGAUAUACGGGGAAUAAUGCCAAAGAAAUUUGCGACAAGCUAGUUUCAGUUGGUAUAUUUGGAAAAAUCGAUGAUUUGUGAAAGACAAACAAUAUACAGCAUAACUUGAAAACAUUGUAUUGGAAAACUAAAAGUAAUGUCAUUAAUACUACCUGGACAGACCGUGAGACGUUGACGUGGAAAAAAGUUGUGCAGUGUUUUCAUUGUUGAAAAUAUACAUGUUUUACGAACAGUGCUUGUAUCCCAAGCUGGGAUGUACCACUUGUGAUGUUUACAGCAUAAUGCGUGAAAUCAUGCAGUAUUUGUUGAACAUAUAUGCAUGUGGAUUUUAUGAUCCUGAUCACAAUGUGCCGUAUGUAUGAGGAAUGGUAAUGUUUACUUUCAACAAGCUAUGGUACAGUAGUUGGUAUACGCUGACAGUCAGGCUGAUUUUUUGAACACAAGCAAUGCACAAUAUAUUUAUUAUUAAAGUGAAGUGAUUCUUAUAGAAGAAUUAAAAACAAUACGGUGUUGACGAAUGGUAGUAAUGAAAAUGAUAAAUAGUCGGUUGUCCAACAACUAGAAACUAAAUUUCGGAAUUAUGGUGAAAAUGUGCAACGAUUUGAAGCAACAUAUUCGUACUGAAAAACAGAAUUGAGAACAUCCAAAGAACCAGUUGAAUCACGUAUUAAGCUCGGUAAAUUACCUUUCAAGAAAAAGCUUUAAUUAUUCGUGAUCUUACUUACCAUUAUGCGUGAUCUUACUUACCAUGUUCUGGAUUUGUUUGGUCUUACUUGGUAAUCAUGAGACUAAGGAUCUAGUCUUCCUUUAUAUAAAGCAGUGAACGGUAUUGAUCAUGUGGUCAAAACGUGGAACAUUACGCUUGCUAUUAAGUCGUACUGCAUGGUACUUUGUCUGCCCGUGAAUUGACAAAACGAACGUGUUGGAGAACAAAGAAAACUGAACAAUUAUUUACCUUUAGAUACUUUGAAUUAGUUCUAGUAUAAUUAUAUUGUUUGUACCUUAAAAUAGUUAUUGUUGUAAAGUUUCUUUAGGAAUGAAUAAUAUAG